AGAGUUUGAUCCUGGCUCAGGAUGAACGCUGGCGGCGUGCUUAACACAUGCAAGUCGAACGGGAAUUACUUUAUUGAAACUUCGGUCGAUUUAAUUUAAUUCUAGUGGCGGACGGGUGAGUAACGCGUGGGUAACCUGCCUUAUACAGGGGGAUAACAGUCAGAAAUGGCUGCUAAUACCGCAUAAGCGCACAGAGUUGCAUGGCUCAGUGUGAAAAACUCCGGUGGUAUAAGAUGGACCCGCGUUGGAUUAGCUUGUUGGUGGGGUAACGGCCCACCAAGGCGACGAUCCAUAGCCGGCCUGAGAGGGUGAACGGCCACAUUGGGACUGAGACACGGCCCAAACUCCUACGGGAGGCAGCAGUGAGGAAUAUUGGUCAAUGGGCGAGAGCCUGAACCAGCCAAGUAGCGUGAAGGAUGACUGCCCUAUGGGUUGUAAACUUCUUUUAUAAAGGAAUAAAGUCGGGUAUGCAUACCCGUUUGCAUGUACUUUAUGAAUAAGGAUCGGCUAACUCCGUGCCAGCAGCCGCGGUAAUACGGAGGAUCCGAGCGUUAUCCGGAUUUAUUGGGUUUAAAGGGAGCGUAGGCGGGUUGUUAAGUCAGUUGUGAAAGUUUGCGGCUCAACCGUAAAAUUGCAGUUGAUACUGGCGACCUUGAGUGCAACAGAGGUAGGCGGAAUUCGUGGUGUAGCGGUGAAAUGCUUAGAUAUCACGAAGAACUCCGAUUGCGAAGGCAGCUUACUGGAUUGUAACUGACGCUGAUGCUCGAAAGUGUGGGUAUCAAACAGGAUUAGAUACCCUGGUAGUCCACACGGUAAACGAUGAAUACUCGCUGUUGGCGAUAUACAGUCAGCGGCCAAGCGAAAGCAUUAAGUAUUCCACCUGGGGAGUACGCCGGCAACGGUGAAACUCAAAGGAAUUGACGGGGGCCCGCACAAGCGGAGGAACAUGUGGUUUAAUUCGAUGAUACGCGAGGAACCUUACCCGGGCUUAAAUUGCAACUGACGGAACCGGAAACGGUUCUUUCUUCGGACAGUUGUGAAGGUGCUGCAUGGUUGUCGUCAGCUCGUGCCGUGAGGUGUCGGCUUAAGUGCCAUAACGAGCGCAACCCUUAUCGAUAGUUACUAGCAGGUCAUGCUGAGGACUCUAUUGAGACUGCCGUCGUAAGAUGUGAGGAAGGUGGGGAUGACGUCAAAUCAGCACGGCCCUUACGUCCGGGGCUACACACGUGUUACAAUGGGGGGUACAGAAGGCAGCUACACGGCGACGUGGUGCUAAUCCCGAAAGCCUCUCUCAGUUCGGAUUGGAGUCUGCAACCCGACUCCAUGAAGCUGGAUUCGCUAGUAAUCGCGCAUCAGCCACGGCGCGGUGAAUACGUUCCCGGGCCUUGCACUCACCGCCCGUCAAG
rnacentral:rRNA from 1 species